rnacentral:rRNA from 1 species
UAUUUUGAACCGCAUGGUUCAAAAGUGAAAGACGGUCUUGCUGUCACUUAUAGAUGGAUCCGCGCUGCAUUAGCUAGUUGGUAAGGUAACGGCUUACCAAGGCAACGAUGCAUAGCCGACCUGAGAGGGUGAUCGGCCACACUGGAACUGAGACACGGUCCAGACUCCUACGGGAGGCAGCAGUAGGGAAUCUUCCGCAAUGGGCGAAAGCCUGACGGAGCAACGCCGCGUGAGUGAUGAAGGUCUUCGGAUCGUAAAACUCUGUUAUUAGGGAAGAACAUAUGUGUAAGUAACUGUGCACAUCUUGACGGUACCUAAUCAGAAAGCCACGGCUAACUACGUGCCAGCAGCCGCGGUAAUACGUAGGUGGCAAGCGUUAUCCGGAAUUAUUGGGCGUAAAGCGCGCGUAGGCGGUUUUUUAAGUCUGAUGUGAAAGCCCACGGGCUCAACCGUGGAGGGUCAUUGGAAACUGGAAAACUUGAGUGCAGAAGAGGAAAGUGGAAUUCCAUGUGUAGCGGUGAAAUGCGCAGAGAUAUGGAGGAACACCAGUGGCGAAGGCGACUUUCUGGUCUGUAACUGACGCUGAUGUGCGAAAGCGUGGGGAUCAAACAGGAUUAGAUACCCUGGUAGUCCACGCCGUAAACGAUGAGUGCUAAGUGUUAGGGGGUUUCCGCCCCUUAGUGCUGCAGCUAACGCAUUAAGCACUCCGCCUGGGGAGUACGACCGCAAGGUUGAAACUCAAAGGAAUUGACGGGGACCCGCACAAGCGGUGGAGCAUGUGGUUUAAUUCGAAGCAACGCGAAGAACCUUACCAAAUCUUGACAUCCUUUGACAACUCUAGAGAUAGAGCUUUCCCCUUCGGGGGACAAAGUGACAGGUGGUGCAUGGUUGUCGUCAGCUCGUGUCGUGAGAUGUUGGGUUAAGUCCCGCAACGAGCGCAACCCUUAAGCUUAGUUGCCAUCAUUAAGUUGGGCACUCUAAGUUGACUGCCGGUGACAAACCGGAGGAAGGUGGGGAUGACGUCAAAUCAUCAUGCCCCUUAUGAUUUGGGCUACACACGUGCUACAAUGGACAAUACAAAGGGCAGCGAAACCGCGAGGUCAAGCAAAUCCCAUAAAGUUGUUCUCAGUUCGGAUUGUAGUCUGCAACUCGACUACAUGAAGCUGGAAUCGCUAGUAAUCGUAGAUCAGCAUGCUACGGUGAAUACGUUCCCG